AACGAACGCUGGCGGCAUGCCUAACACAUGCAAGUCGAACGAGACCUUCGGGUCUAGUGGCGCACGGGUGCGUAACGCGUGGGAACCUGCCCUUAGGUUCGGAAUAACUCCCCGACAGGGGUGCUAAUACCGGAUAAUGUCUUCGGACCAAAGAUUUAUCGCCUUUGGAUGGGCCCGCGUUGGAUUAGCUAGUUGGUAGGGUAAAAGCCUACCAAGGCGACGAUCCAUAGCUGGUCUGAGAGGAUGAUAAGCCACACUGGGACUGAGACACGGCCCAGACUCCUACGGGAGGCAGCAGUGGGGAAUAGUGGACAAUGGGCGAAAGCCUGAUCCAGCAAUGCCGCGUGAGUGAUGAAGGCCUUAGGGUUGUAAAGCUCUUUUACCCGGGAUGAUAAUGACAGUACCGGGAGAAUAAGCUCCGGCUAACUCCGUG
rnacentral:rRNA from 1 species